rnacentral:pre_miRNA from 1 species
AAAAACCACAGUUUUAAUUUUUUAUUCAACAUUCGAUUGUUUGUUUUAUUAAAAUAAAUUAUAAUUAGUAUUUUUAUUGUUAGAUGAUAAAACAUGAAUAGUACUUUAUACGUGAUUAUUUUUUUAUUAUUUUUUUAAUUUUUAAAAUAAGAUGGACGAUCAAACGUUGGACACGGAAACCCACAACUGCACUUAAA